GACGUAGGGCGCGAGCGUUGUCCGGAUUUAUUGGGCGUAAAGAGCUCGUAGGCGGCUUGUUGCGUCAGCUGUGAAAACCCGCAGCUCAACUGUGGGCUUGCAGCUGAUACGGGCAGGCUUGAGUUCGGUAGGGGAGACUGGAAUUCCUGGUGUAGCGGUGAAAUGCGCAGAUAUCAGGAAGAACACCUAUGGCGAAGGCAGCUCUCUGGGACGGUACUGACGCUGAGACGCGAAAGCGUGGGGAGCGAACAGG
rnacentral:rRNA from 1 species